AAUUAACGAUCAUGAUGAUGAUGAUGAUGAUGAUGGUUUUGAAAAUAAUAAUGAUGACGACAAGGGUCACUGUCAUCAUCAUCGUCAUCAUCAUCAUCAUCAUCAUCA
rnacentral:miRNA from 1 species